AGAGUUUGAUCAUGGCUCAGGAUGAACGCUAGCGGCAGGCUUAAUACAUGCAAGUCGAGGGGUAACAGGGGUAGCAAUACCUGCUGACGACCGGCAAACGGGUGCGGAACACGUACACAACCUUCCCUUGAGGCGGGGGAUAGCCCAGAGAAAUUUGGAUUAAUACCCCAUAAGAUAUUGUCCCGGCAUCGGGAAGAUAUUAAAGAUUUAUCACCUUAGGAUGGGUGUGCGUAUGAUUAGGUAGUUGGUGCGGGUAACGGCCCACCAAGCCAUCGAUCAUUAACUGGUGUGAGAGCACGACCAGUCACACGGGCACUGAGACACGGGCCCGACUCCUACGGGAGGCAGCAGUAAGGAAUAUUGGUCAAUGGACGAAAGUCUGAACCAGCCAUGCCGCGUGAAGGAUGACGGCCCUCUGGGUUGUAAACUUCUUUUAUCUGGGACGAAAAAGGGCCAUUCUUGGUCAACUGACGGUACCAGAGGAAUAAGCACCGGCUAACUCCGUGCCAGCAGCCGCGGUAAUACGGAGGGUGCAAGCGUUAUCCGGAUUUACUGGGUUUAAAGGGAGCGCAGGCGGAUUGGUAAGUCAGUGGUGAAAUACCCGUGCUUAACAUGGGAACUGCCAUUGAUACUAUCAGUCUUGAAUAUCGUUGAGGUUUGCGGAAUGGGUCAUGUAGCGGUGAAAUGCAUAGAUAUGACCCGGAACACCUAUUGCGAAGGCAGCAGGCUAAACGAAGAUUGACGCUGAGGCUCGAAAGCGUGGGGAUCAAACAGGAUUAGAUACCCUAGUAGUCC
rnacentral:rRNA from 1 species